GCUUACGGCCAUACCACCCUGAGCACGCCCGAUCUCGUCCGAUCUCGGAAGCUAAGCAGGGUCGGGCCUGGUUAGUCGUCCGAUCUCGGAAGCUAAGCAGGGUCGGGCCUGGUUAGUACUUGGAUGGGAGACCGCCUGGGAAUACCAGGUGCUGUAAGCU
rnacentral:rRNA from 1 species